CGAAACCCUAACCCCCAUCUCGCUCAGUGCCCCUGGAUCCCCCGUCGCCCCCUCCUCUUCCGCUCGAAUUUGAGCUCGAACAACUCGUGGUCACCGCUGCCUCACCGUCGUUACCACGGCCACCGUCGUCGCCAACCCGUGGGAGCAUGUCCAGGAGCUCCGUCAUCCUCGUAUUGUCUCCUGCGCCACUUGAUCAAGGCCGAGGUGCACCGGUGACGCCGUCCGCAUCGAUCCCCUUCGUCGGAUAUCGCCACUGCCGCUCGUCGAUCCGCUCCACCCCGAGCCUCUCCGGCCUUCAUGAGCCCGCCUCGAGCUUCACUGUGAGCUCCCAGUCCUCUAUGACCUCUUUCCCCUCUCCUCCGUAUCCCCUAGCAUGUCUCCCGCUUGUUGCCGUAGCCGCCGCCCGCCAUGGCCGAAGCUAGCUCCGUGCCUGCGCCCUGACCGAAACGACCCUCACCCGGCUACGCCCCCGUGCAUGCGCGCCCGCUCGUGGCCGCGUCCCGACGCGCCCGUCGUCGCCCGCGCCACCGCGGCUGCUCCUGGCCGCCCUAUUGGCGCCUCCCUCCCGCGUACGUGCCGCUGCUGAUGAUCUACUGCCGCUGGCUACCUGCUGCUGAUACUCUGCUGCGUUGCUCUGCCCGCUGCCACUGCUACUUACUGCUGCUGCUCUAUACUGCUCCAUGCUGCUUGCUGCUGCCCUUUGUGGCUGCCGCUGCGUAUUGCUGCUCCCGUAGUGCCGCUGCGUAGUGCCGUUGCCUGCUGCAGCAUGUUCUUGCGGCUGGCCAUGGUCAAGGCCAUGGCCGUGGUUGAUGUGCGCUAGGUGUGUGCGCGUAAGUGUGUGUGUGGGGUUUAGUUAGAAUAGGAUUAGUUUAGAACUAACCCUAGUGCUAGUUUAGUUUAAUAUAAAGCAAUGGCACGUGGUCUCAUUUUAAUCUAGACACUAGUUAAUUUAUGUGACAAUGACAUGUGGGCCACAUUGUCCUAUUGACUAGUCAAAAGUUGACUAGGUUGGCUGGGUUGACUGCACUUUAGAAUUUAAUAUUCGAAUUUAAAACAAUUCCAGAAAAUUAGAAAAUCAUUUAAAAACUUCGGAAAAUUAAUAUAAAAUAAACCGUAGCUCAGAUGAAAAUGUUUUCUAUAUGAAAGUUGCUCAGAAAAAUCCAACGAAUUCGAAUACGCCGUCCGUUCGUCCGCCACACGUCCCUAGCAUAGCGAACCUGCAACCGUCCCCCUCUGGUUCGUCUGUCCGAAAAUGCCAAACUUCGGGAAAGCAUUCCCGGAUGUUAUCCCCUUCGCCGGUAACUUGUAGUUCUUCCUACUAUUCUCUCCGGUAGACCCUGAGACCGAUGCCGCCCCUGUUAUCGACUACGUCGACGACGACCCCUCCUUGCCAGAGCAACCAGGCAAGCCCCCCCUUGAUCACCAGAUAUCGCCUAUUCUUCUCUAUACUGCUUGCAUUAGAGUAGUGUAGCAUGUUACUGAUUUCGGUUAAUCCUAUUCUGUUGCAUAGCCUGUCAUUGUUGCUACAGUUGUUACCCUUACCUGCUAUCCUACUGCUUAGUAUAGGAUGCUAGUGUUCCAUCAGUGGCCCUACACUCUUGUCCGUCUGCCAUGCUAUACUACUGGGUCGUGAUCACUUCGGGAGGUGAUCACGGGUAUACACUAUAUACUUUAUAUACAUGACACAUGUGGUGACUAAAGUCGGGUCGGCUCGUUGAGUACCCGCAAGUAAUUCUGAUGAGGGGCUGAAAGGACAUGUGGCUCCAUCCCGGUAGAGGUGGGCCUGGGUUCCUGACGGCCCCCGACUAUUACUUUCUGGCGGAGCGACAGGGCAGGUUGAGACCACCUAGGAGAGAGGUGGGCCUGGCCCUGGUCGGUGUUCGCGGAUACUUAACACGCUUAACGAGAUCUUGGUAUUUGAUCUGAGUCUGGCCAUUUGGUCUAUACGCACUAACCAACUACGCGGGAACAGUUAUGGGCACUCGAUGUCGUGGUAUCAGCCGAAGUCUUCGUGACGUCAACGACAGAGCGGCACGCGCCGGAUUGGACUGGAACGCCUGCUAGGCUAGGUCUGCUUCCGGCCGCGCACGCAACGUGCAGGUGUGCAAUGGGCGAUGGGCCCAGACCCCUGUGCGCAUAGGAUUUAGACAGGCGUGCUGACCUCUCUGUUGAGCCUAGGUGGGGCUGCGACGUGUUGAUCUUCCGCGGCCGGGCAUGACCCAGAAAAGUGUGUCCGGCCAAAUGGGAUCGAGUGUGUUGGGUUAUGUGGUGCACCCCUGCAGGUAAGUUUAUCUAUUCGAAUAGCCGUGUCCCUCGGUAAAAGGACGACCCGGACUUGUACCUCGACCUUAUGACAACUAGAACCGGAUACUUAAUAAAACACACCAUUCCAAGUGCCAGAUACAAUCCGGUGAUCACUCUCUAACAGGGCGACGAGGAGGGGAUCGUCGGGUAGGAUUAUGCUAUGCGAUGCUACUUGGUGAACUUACCAUCUACUCUCUUCUACAUGCUGCAAGAUGGAGGUGGCCAGAAGCGUAGUCUUCGACAGGAUUAGCUAUCCCCCUCUUAUUCUGGCAUUCUGCAGUUCAGUCCACUGAUAUGGCCCUUUACACAUAUACCCAUGCAUAUGUAGUGUAGCUCCUUGCUUGUGAGUACUUUGGAUGAGUACUCACGGUUGCUUUUCUCCAUCUUUUCCCCUUUCUAUACCUGGUUGUCGCAACCAGAUGCUGGAGUACAGGAGCUAGAGAUCCAGAGGAUGAUUCUACGUGGAGUUCGGCUUCGAGGAGUAGUUAGGAGGUCCCAGGCAGGAGGCCUUGCCUUUUCGACCGUUGCUACUUUUGUGGUAGCCUUCUUAAGGCAAACUUGUUUAACUUAUGUCUGUACUCAGAUAUUGUUGCUUCCGCUGACUUGUCUAUGAUCGAGCACUUGUAUUCGAGCCCUCGAGGCCCCUGGCUUGUAUUAUGAUGCUUGUAUGACUUAUUUAUGUUGUAGAGUUGUAUUGUGA
rnacentral:lncRNA from 1 species